UUUAUUUGCUGCUAACAUCUUACCUGGAAUUGUCCAUGACCUGGAGAGUCUGUGUGGUGGUCCAGCCAUUCAGUGCGGGUGAGCCUCAGUGCCUGUUGUCUGCUACAAGCACGGUGGCCUUUGCUGGUUAUGGAUUGUAACCUGUGUUCUGUAGGUAACAUGUGCCCAUUUGACAGGACUUAGAACCAGACAGCCUCUGAAUCUCGACCUUAGCAUGGUCACUUGGGAAAGCCA